rnacentral:rRNA from 1 species
ACAGCUUGCUGUCUGGGGAGACCGGCGAACGGGUGAGUAACACGUGAGGAACCUACCUUGGAGACCGGAAUAACCACGGGAAACUGUGGCUAAUGCCGGAUGUCCUGGUCGUCUCGCAUGAGACAUCCAGGAAAUGGUCUGCCGCUCCAAGAUGGCCUCGCGGCCUAUCAGCUAGUUGGUGGGGUAAAGGCCUACCAAGGCGUCGACGAGUAGCUGGUCUGAGAGGACGAUCAGCCACACUGGAACUGAGACACGGUCCAGACUCCUACGGGAGGCAGCAGCAGGGAAUCUUGCGCAAUGGGCGAAAGCCUGACGCAGCAACGCCGCGUGGGGGAUGAAGGCCUUCGGGUUGUAAACCCCUUUCAGGAGGGAAGAAAUUGACGGUACCUCCAGAAGAAGGACCGGCCAACUACGUGCCAGCAGCCGCGGUAAUACGUAGGGUCCUAGCGUUAUCCGGAAUCAUUGGGCGUAAAGAGCUCGUAGGCGGUUCAGCAAGUCGGCUGUGAAAGUCCGAGGCUUAACCUCGGAAUUGCAGUCGAUACUGCUGUGACUCGAGUCCGGUAGAGGAGAAUGGAAUUCUCGGUGUAGCGGUGAAAUGCGCAGAUAUCGAGAGGAACACCAGUAGCGAAGGCGGUUCUCUGGGCCGGCACUGACGCUGAGGAGCGAAAGCGUGGGGAGCAAACAGGAUUAGAUACCCUGGUAGUCCACGCCGUAAACGUUGGA